rnacentral:misc_RNA from 1 species
GUAAAGUCUCCGCUUGCAAACGUAAGCACAGUUCAAAAGAUAGCUCACAGAACAAACUGAAAGAGCGAAGCUUGUCAGAGCUGAUGGAUAAUAUGGAAUGUGAGUAUUCUCCAGAUGGUGAGGAUGAUUUGGAUGAAAAAUCAUUCACUUCCAGCAAGAAGAGGAAAGGUGUUGAUUCUCGUACUGAUAGAUCGGACAAGAAAACAAGUGCUUAUGCUCCCAAAGUGUUGACCACUGCGUCUGUAUCUCCUAAAACAUCCUUUCGUAUUGGUGAAUGCAUUCAAAGAGUGGCAAGCCAAUUAACUCGCUCAGCCUCGCUUCUGAAGGGCAGCAGUGAUCAAAGUGGGGCUGAUGUUCAAUCACAGGACUCUCCAAAGGGCAAAGUUGUGAUUCCAACUGAACUACCUUCUGCAAAUGAGUUGCUCUCACAGCUUCAGUUGGUGGCACGGGCUCCAAUGAAAGGCUACAACUUAAAAACCAUCACGAAUUUCUUUUCAGGUUUUAGAAAUUCGGUUGCUGUGGGGCAAAAAUCAAUGAAGCAGAAUUUGUCGGCGGGUAGAGCUGCUGGUGGUCGUAAGAAAAGAGCUUCACAAACUGUGGCUGGUUUUGCUGAAGAAUUCGAGUUUGAUGAUGUAAAUGAUUCUUAUUGGACAGACAGGGUUGUACAAAACUGUGGAGAGGAGCAGCCAUUGCAGAAUAAUCAGAGUGUGACGGUUCAAGAUCCAGAGAAAUCCAGUAAACCAGCUCGUAGAUCAUACACUAGAAAACGAAAAUCGAGUGUCGAUCAUGACAUGACACCAGGCGUUCCUCCUGAGGACAUUGAGAAGAGGAAACAUGAGCCAGCAGAACUCAUUUUAAUUUUUGCAGAGGGUAGUCCUCUUCCAUCUGAAAUGAACCUUAAUAAAAUGUUUAGGCGGUUUGGGCCAUUGAAGGAAUUAGAAACUGAAGUUCAUCAGGAGUCUUCUCGUGCUAGAGUAGUCUUUAAAAGGGGUUCUGACGCAGAGGUUGCUCAUAGUAGUGUAGGAAAGUUCAACAUCUUUGGGUCACGGCAAGUGACAUAUGAACUCAGCUACACACCAGUUAUCUCAUUUAAGCCGAUGCUCCUUACAGUUACGCCAGGCCUGGAGGGAGUUAUUUGAUGCUUCAGCUCCAAAGUGGAUAACAGCUUGAGGUUAAACAAGAAAUGAUUAUUAUUGCAGGGAAGGCCAACAGUAGCAUCUUUCUUUCAUUAGAAGAUAGCGGGUGAAUGCCAUCUUUUUGUAAAGAUUAAAACUUUAUUUCUGUCUGUAUUUUCUUCUCUUUCUAUUUCCCCAGAGUUUCUCUCCUGCUCCAUUAGAAAUGACAUCGAUCAACUUCCCAGUUCCCUCUUUAUCUUUAUGGAUAAAGUAUAUUAGAAAAUCAUUUACUAUCAAAUUACUCAAGUGGGAUGGGC